rnacentral:rRNA from 1 species
CGGCGGACGGGUGAGUAAUACUUAGGAAUCUACCUAGUAGUGGGGGAUAGCUCGGGGAAACUCGAAUUAAUACCGCAUACGACCUACGGGAGAAAGGGGGCAGUUUACUGCUCUCGCUAUUAGAUGAGCCUAAGUCGGAUUAGCUAGAUGGUGGGGUAAAGGCCUACCAUGGCGACGAUCUGUAGCUGGUCUGAGAGGAUGAUCAGCCACACCGGGACUGAGACACGGCCCGGACUCCUACGGGAGGCAGCAGUGGGGAAUAUUGGACAAUGGGGGAAACCCUGAUCCAGCCAUGCCGCGUGUGUGAAGAAGGCCUUUUGGUUGUAAAGCACUUUAAGCAGUGAAGAAGACUCCGUGGUUAAUACCCACGGACGAUGACAUUAGCUGCAGAAUAAGCACCGGCUAACUCUGUGCCAGCAGCCGCGGUAAUACAGAGGGUGCAAGCGUUAAUCGGAAUUACUGGGCGUAAAGGGAGCGUAGGUGGCUCGAUAAGUCAGAUGUGAAAUCCCCGGGCUCAACCUGGGAACUGCAUCUGAUACUGUUGAGCUAGAGUAUGUGAGAGGAAGGUAGAAUUCCAGGUGUAGCGAUGAAAUGCGUAGAGAUCUGGAGGAAUACCGAUGGCGAAGGCAGCCUCCUGGCAUAAUACUGACACUGAGGCUCGAAAGCGUGGGUAGCAAACAGGAUUAGAUACCCUGGUAGUCCACGCCGUAAACGAUGUCUACUAGUCGUUGGGUCCCUUGAGGACUUAGUGACGCAGCUAACGCAAUAAGUAGACCGCCUGGGGAGUACGGCCGCAAGGUUAAAACUCAAAUGAAUUGACGGGGGCCCGCACAAGCGGUGGAGCAUGUGGUUUAAUUCGAUGCAACGCGAAGAACCUUACCUGGUCUUGACAUAUCUAGAAUCCUGCAGAGAUGCGGGAGUGCCUUCGGGAAUUAGAAUACAGGUGCUGCAUGGCUGUCGUCAGCUCGUGUCGUGAGAUGUUGGGUUAAGUCCCGCAACGAGCGCAACCCUUGUCCUUAGUUACCAGCGGGUUAAGCUGGGAACUCUAAGGAUACUGCCAGUGACAAACUGGAGGAAGGCGGGGACGACGUCAAGUCAUCAUGGCCCUUACGACCAGGGCUACACACGUGCUACAAUGGUAGGUACAGAGGGCAACUACACAGCGAUGUGAUGCGAAUCUCAAAAAGCCUAUCGUAGUCCAGAUUGGAGUCUGCAACUCGACUCCAUGAAGUAGGAAUCGCUAGUAAUCGCGGAUCAGAAUGCCGCGGUGAAUACGUUCCCGGGCCUUGUACACACCGCCCGUCACACCAUGGGAGUUGAUUGCACCAGAAGU